rnacentral:rRNA from 1 species
GAUGAACGCUGGCGGCGUGCCUAAUACAUGCAAGUCGAGCGAACAGACGAGGGGCUUGCUCCUCUGACGUUAGCGGCGGACGGGUGAGUAACACGUGGAUAACCUACCUAUAAGACUGGGAUAACUUCGGGAAACCGGAGCUAAUACCGGAUAAUAUAUUGAACCGCAUGGUUCAAUAGUGAAAGACGGUUUUGCUGUCACUUAUAGAUGGAUCCGCUCCGCAUUAGCUAGUUGGUAAGGUAACGGCUUACCAAGGCAACGAUGCGUAGCCGACCUGGGAGGGUGAUCGGCCACACUGGAACUGAGACACGGUCCAGACUCCUACGGGAGGCAGCAGUAGGGAAUCUUCCGCAAUGGGCGAAAGCCUGACGGAGCAACGCCGCGUGAGUGAUGAAGGUCUUCGGAUCGUAAAACUCUGUUAUUAGGGAAGAACAAAUGUGUAAGUAACUAUGCACGUCUUGACGGUACCUAAUCAGAAAGCCACGGCUAACUACGUG